GUGUUCCCCUCAGCAGCACAUGUACUAAAAUGAAAGGAUACAGAGAAGAUUAAGAUGGCCCCUACAGAAGGAUGACACACUGAUCUGUGAAGCAUUCCAUAUUUUG
ensembl:snRNA U6 U6 spliceosomal RNA